rnacentral:rRNA from 1 species
GAUGAACGCUGGCGGCGUGCCUAAUACAUGCAAGUCGAGCGAACAGACGAGGAGCUUGCUCCUCUGACGUUAGCGGCGGACGGGUGAGUAACAAGUGGAUAACCUACCUAUAAGACUGGGAUCACUUCGGGAAACCGGAGCUAAUACCGGAUAAUAUAUUGAACCGCAGGGACCAUUAGUGAAAGACGGUUUAGCUGUCAAUUUUAGACGGAUCCGCGCCGCAUUAGCUAGUUGGUAAGGUAACGGCUUACCAAGGCAACGAUGCGUAGCCGACCUGAGAGCGUGAUCGGCCACACUGGAACUGAGACACGGUCCAGACUCCUACGGGAGGCAGCAGUAGGGAAUCUUCCGCAAUGGGCGAAAGCCUGACGGAGCAACGCCGCGUGAGUGAUGAAGGUCUUCGGCUCGUAAAACUCUGUUAUUAGGGAAGAACAAAUGUGUAAGUAACUAUGCACGUCUUGACGGUACCUAAUCAGAAAGCCACGGCUAACUACGUG